AUCCUUACCGGGCAGGGGAGACAUCAUGAUCCAGAAAGUGGUUUUCCCGGGGCUAGGCUUAUCUAUUGCACUCGGGAUGUGGUGGCCCCUGCGAUCUUCCCAAAUGUGGGAAACUCGGUUGUGUAAUUUGUGGUAGUGGGGGCACUGCGUUCACACUCUCCCUGG